rnacentral:tRNA from 1 species
UCCGCGAUAGCUCAAUGGUAGAGCAAUCGGCUGUUAACCGAUAGGCUGUCGGUUCGAAUCCGACUCGCGGAG